UAGGGAAUCUUCGGCAAUGGACGAAAGUCUGACCGAGCAACGCCGCGUGAGUGAAGAAGGUUUUCGGAUCGUAAAACUCUGUUGUUAGAGAAGAACAAGGACGUUAGUAACUGAACGUCCCCUGACGGUAUCUAACCAGAAAGCCACGGCUAACUACGUGCCAGCAGCCGCGGUAAUACGUAGGUGGCAAGCGUUGUCCGGAUUUAUUGGGCGUAAAGCGAGCGCAGGCGGUUUCUUAAGUCUGAUUUGAAAGCCCCCGGCUCAACCGGGGAGGGUCAUUGAAAACUGGGAGACUUGAGUGCAGAAGAGGAGAGUGGAAUUCCAUGUGUAGCGGUGAAAUGCGUAGAUAUAUGGAGGAACACCAGUGGCGAAGGCGGCUCUCUGGUCUAUAACUGACGCUGAGGCUCGAAAGCGUGGGGAGCAAACAGG
rnacentral:rRNA from 1 species